UUUUGUUAAGCUACAAAGGGUAUACGACGGAUGCCUAGGGACAAGAAGCCGAUGAAGGGCGUGUAAGCGACGAAACGCCUCGGGGAACUGCACAAGAGUGUCGAUCCGAGGGUGCCCGAAUGGAGAAAUCCGGCUGGAGUAAUGUCCAGUCAUUCCUAGCUGAAUACAUAGGCUAGCGAAGGGGAACCUGCUGAACUGAAACAUCUAAGUAAGCAGAGGAAAAGAAAUCGAAGAGAUUCCGUAAGUAGCGGCGAGCGAAAUCGGAAGAGCCUAAACCAGUCAGCUUGCUGAUUGGGGUUGCGGGACCAUGUUUAGUGAAAAUAGACGAGUGGAACUUACUGGAAAGUAGGGUCAUAGAAGGUGACAACCCUGUACACGAAGUCGACGAUAACGAUUGGUAUCCCAAGUAGCACGAAUCACGAGGAAUUUUGUGCGAAUCUGUCCGGACCACCGGAUAAGGCUAAAUACUUCUUGUCACCGAUAGCGAAUAGUACCGUGAGGGAAAGGUGAAAAGAACCCCGGUUAGGGGAGUGAAAUAGUUCCUGAAAUCGUAUUACCUACAAACAGUCAGAGCGCUAUGCUAGGAGCAAUCCUAGAAUGCGUUAUGGCGUGCCUUUUGCAGAAUGAGCCUGCGAGUUGUUCGUACCGGCAAGGUUAAGCGGUUAAGCCGCGGAGCCGGAGGGAAACCGAGUCUGAAUAGGGCGUUCAGUCGGUGCGAGCAGACCCGAAACUGCGUGAUCUAGCCAUGGCCAGGCUGAAGUGAAGGUAACACUUCAUGGAGGGCCGAACUCAUAGACGUUGAAAAGUCUCGGGAUGAGCUGUGGUUAGUCCGGUGAAAUGCCAAUCGAACGCAGAGAUAGCUGGUUCUCCCCGAAAUGCAUUUAGGUGCAGCGUUACGUGUUCUCGUAUGGAGGUAGAGCACUGAAUGGGCUAAGGGUCCUACCAGAUUACUGAACCCAAUCAAACUCCGAAUACCAUACGAUCAAGCGUAGCAGUGAGACGGCGAGUGCUAAGAUCCGUCGUCAAAAGGAAAACAAUCCAGAUCAGCAGCUAAGGGCCGUAAACCACGGCUAAGUGUGAAACGAUGUGAGAUUGCGUAAACAGCCAGGAGGUUGGCUUGGAGGCAGCCACCCUUUAAAAAGUGCGUAACAGCUUACUGGCCGAAUGUGAUCUCGCGCGGACAAUUUAAGCGGGCUAAAGCCGUGUCCCGAAGCUCUGGGUGGCGUCGUUAAGGCGUCGCGGUAGGGGAGCGUUCUGUAUGCAGUGAAGCUUGAGCGUGAGCACAGGUGGAGCGUACAGAAGUGAGAAUGCAGGCAUGAGUAGCGAUCACAAAGGUGAGAAUCCUUUGCGCCGAAAACCCAAGGUUUCCCCCGCCAUGUUCGUCAGAGGGGGGUUAGGCGAUAUCCUAAGGCGAGGCCGGAAGGCGUAGUCGAUGGACAGACGGUUGAUAUUCCGUCCCCAAGUACGUUUGGUCAAGAGGGACGCUUCUAAAGGUUCUAUCCCACACCGUUGGUUGUUGUGGGCCCAAAAUCGGCGUGGCGCGGCGAAAACGCGCGGAAUCGCUGAUGAGGGGGAAGGGAUCGCUUCGGCGUGAACGAACUAGGACUGCUGGGGGCCGAGAAAAGCUCUAUAGACUAUAUUCGUAUUUGUUCGUACCGUAAACCGACACAGGUAGGUGAGUCGAGAAGACUAAGGCGUUCGAGAGAACUCUUGUUAAGGAACUAGGCAAACGAGCCCCGUAACUUCGGAAUAAGGGGCGCCCACUUCGGUGGGCCGCAGCUAAGCAUCUCAGGCGACUGUUUACCAAAAACACAGGUCUCUGCUAAGACGAAAGUCGACGUAUAGGGGCUGACGCCUGCCCAAUGCUCGUAGGUUAAUCGGAGGUGUUAGGGGUAACCCGAGGCACCGAAUUGAAGCCCGAGUGAAUGGCGGCCGUAACUCUAACGGUCCUAAGGUAGCGAAAUUCCUUGUCGGGUAAGUUCCGACCCGCAUGAAAGGCGUAACGACUUGAGAACUGUCUCAACAAGAAGCUCGGUGAAAUUGUAGCACCCGCGAAGAUGCGGGUUCCGCGCAGUAGGACGGAAAGACCCCGUGGAGCUUUACUACACCUUGAGAUUGUAAUUUGGAUUGUGAUGUAGAGCGUAGGUGGGAGCUUCGGCACCAAUGGAACACCACCCUUCGCACUCUGAAUUACUAACCCUUGCCGUUAUCCGGUAAGGAGACCGUCUUAGGCGGGUAGUUUGACUGGGGCGGUCGCCUCCCAAAAAGUAACGGAGGCGUUCAAAGGUACCCUCAGCCUGGUUGGAAAUCAGGCGCCGAGCGUAAUGGUAUAUAGGGUGCUUAACUGUGAGACAAACAAGUCGAGCAGAGACGAAAGUCGGACAUAGUGACCCUCUGGUUGUGCGUGGGCACGCCAGGGUUCAUCGGAUAAAAGCUACCCCGGGGAUAACAGGCUGAUCUUGCCCGAGCGCUCACAGCGACGGCAUGGUUUGGCACCUCGAUGUCGGCUCGUCACAUCCUGGGGCUGUAUUAGGUCCCAAGGGUUGGGCUGUUCGCCCAUUAAAGUGGCACGCGAGCUGGGUUCAGAACGGCGUGAGCCAGUUCGGUCCCUAUCCACUGCGCGCGCAGGAUAUUUGAGAGGAGUCGUUCCUAGUACGAGAGGACCGGAAUGAACUGACCUCUGGUGUACCAG
rnacentral:rRNA from 1 species